UGGGGAAUUUUGGACAAUGGGCGAAAGCCUGAUCCAGCAAUGCCGCGUGUGUGAAGAAGGCCUUCGGGUUGUAAAGCACUUUUGUCCGGAAAGAAAUCCUUGGCUCUAAUACAGUCGGGGGAUGACGGUACCGGAAGAAUAAGCACCGGCUAACUACGUGCCAGCAGCCGCGGUAAUACGUAGGGUGCAAGCGUUAAUCGGAAUUACUGGGCGUAAAGCGUGCGCAGGCGGUUUGCUAAGACCGAUGUGAAAUCCCCGGGCUCAACCUGGGAACUGCAUUGGUGACUGGCAGGCUAGAGUAUGGCAGAGGGGGGUAGAAUUCCACGUGUAGCAGUGAAAUGCGUAGAGAUGUGGAGGAAUACGAUGGCGAAGGCAGCCCCCUGGGCCAAUACUGACGCUCAUGCACGAAAGCGUGGGGAGCAAACAGGAUUAGAUACCCCUGGUAGUCCACGCCCUAAAACGAUGUCAACUAGUUGUUGGGGAUUCAUUUCCUUAGUAACGUAGCUAACGCGUGAAGUUGACCGCCUGGGGAGUACGGUCGCAAGAUUAAAA
rnacentral:rRNA from 1 species